AUUGAACGCUGGCGGCAUGCUUUACACAUGCAAGUCGAACGGCAGCACGGGGGCAACCCUGGUGGCGAGUGGCGAACGGGUGAGUAAUGCAUCGGAACGUGCCCUGUCGUGGGGGAUAACACAUCGAAAGAUGUGCUAAUACCGCAUACGACCUGAGGGUGAAAGCGGGGGACCGUAAGGCCUCGCGCGAUAGGAGCGGCCGAUGUCUGAUUAGCUAGUUGGUGGGGUAAAGGCCUACCAGGGCGACGAUCAGUAGCUGGUCUGAGAGGACGACCAGCCACACUGGGACUGAGACACGGCCCAGACUCCUACGGGAGGCAGCAGUGGGGAAUUUUGGACAAUGGGGGCAACCCUGAUCCAGCCAUGCCGCGUGCGGGAAGAAGGCCUUCGGGUUGUAAACCGCUUUUGGCAGGAACGAAACGGUGCGGGCGAAUACCCUGUGCUAAUGACGGUACCUGCAGAAUAAGCACCGGCUAACUACGUGCCAGCAGCCGCCGUAACAC
rnacentral:rRNA from 1 species